GACGGAGGGGGCGAGCGUUGCCCGGAUUUACUGGGCGUAAAGCGCACGUAGGCGGCGUCGUAAGUCUGGUGUGAAAUCUCACGGCUCAACCGGGAGGCUGCACCAGAUACUGCGACGCUCGAGGGCAGGAGAGGGGAUUGGAAUUCCCGGUGUAGCGGUGAAAUGCAUUGAUAUCGGGAGGAACACCAGUGGCGAAGGCGGAUCCCUGGCCUGCUACUGACGCUGAGGUGCGAAAGCUGGGGGAGCGAAAGGG
rnacentral:rRNA from 1 species